UACGUAGGGGGCAAGCGUUGUUCGGAAUUACUGGGCGUAAAGGGCGCGUAGGCGGCUGAGCAAGUCGGGGGUGAAAGCCCGGGGCUCAACCCCGGAAUGGCUUUCGAAACUGCUGAGCUAGAGUACAGAAGGGGCAACCGGAAUUCCCAGUGUAGCGGUGAAAUGCGUAGAUAUUGGGAAGAACACCUGAGGCGAAGGCGGGUUGCUGGGCUGAUACUGACGCUGAGGCGCGAAAGCCAGGGGAGCAAACGGG
rnacentral:rRNA from 1 species